CACCAUUUCAUCACUAACCCCCAAAUUCACACCAUUUUCAUCACAAACCCCGCGUCCACUUCCCCCAAAUUCCCCAUUUCAUCACUAACCCCCCAAAUUCACACCAUUUUCAACCGUCAUUCUCCGCUGCUGUUGUCACUCCAUUACGGUUGCACCGCAGUUGCUCCUCUUGCUCGCGCCACCGUUGCGCUCUGUUUCUGCCGUGCUGCUAUCGCACCCACGUUCGCACCGCCGUCGCUCCUCCUACUUUGGUCCUUCUCCACUCUCUCUAUAUCGAGCUCAUAAGAACCAGUUUGGAGGCCUUCUAACUACUGGCAUUUUGGCCUUCUCCGGAACGGUUAUGCAGCAAGGAAAUUUGCUAAACAAGGACUUAAACCUGGGGAGCUGGCAAUCAUAUCCAAAGAAGUGGUAGCACCUUAUGAAUGUCCUGCACUAAGCAAGGCUUACCUUUUUCCUGAGUCCUCCGCUAGACUUACUGGUUUCCAUGUUUGUGUUGGAAGUGGAUGAGAAAGAUUGCUUCCUGAGUGGUACAAUGAGAAAGGUUUAAUGUUUGCUUCUAUCUCUCUUCUAUACACCUCUGCUAGCAAAUCAGCAGUGGGUUCAAAUCCAUCAAUUUAUAAUUGAAAUCUUCCAGAAAAGCACAGCCCCAGGUAGAAAACUCCCACCUAUUCUGCAGUGGCCAGGACAACCAUAGAGUUCUCAAAGGGAGGAUGAUUCUGACGAUCUUGAUGACUCGGAUGAUUAUUUAGACGAGUAUGAGUAGGGUUAUUUACUUUGCUUUGAAUAUUUUGUAUUAUUAGUGGAUUGAAAUUUAAACGAAUAUAAGUCUAAGUUUAGUUAUUUAUCUUGUCUUGAGUCCUUAUGUUAGAGGAUUAUUUAUUGUUUUGAUAAGUUUGU